GACGAACGCUGGCGGCGUGCUUAACACAUGCAAGUUGAACGGAGAUAUCGUUUUCGGAUGAUAUCUUAGUAGCGGACGGGUGAGUAACGCGUGAGCAACCUACCUUUGUGAGGGGGACAACAGCUGGAAACGGCUGCUAAUACCGCAUAAGACCACGGAAUCGAUUGAUACUGAGGUCAAAGAUUUAUCGCACAAAGAUGGGCUCGCGUCCCAUUAGCUAGUUGGUGAGGUAACGGCCCACCAAGGCAUCGAUGGGUAGCCGACCUGAGAGGGUGAUCGGCCACACUGGAACUGAGACACGGUCCAGACUCCUACGGGAGGCAG
rnacentral:rRNA from 1 species